GCUUCCGUGGUCUAGUAGCAUGAUGCUUCGUUUGGGUAAUUCAUUAUCACGUGACGAAGAGGUCCCGGGUUCAAAUCCCGGCGGAGGUC